rnacentral:lncRNA from 1 species
CAGCGGAAUCAUCCUGGGGAGACAACGGUGAGGGCAGGCCGGGUGCAAUGGCUCUGUCAUCCCAGCACUUUGGGAGGCCGAGGCAGGAGGAUUGUUUGAACCCAGGAGGUCAAGACCAGCCUGGGCAACAUGGCAAGACCCCAUCUCUAGAGAAAAUGUAAAAAAGUUAGCUGGACAUCGUCGUGUGCACCUGUGGUCCCAGCUACUCGGGAGGCUGAGGUGCGAAGAUCGAUUGAGCCUGGGAGGUUGAGGAUUCGGUGAACCGAGAUCUCACCACCGCUUUCCAGCCUAGGCAGGAGUGAAAGACCCUGUCCUUAAAAGCAUUAAUUUUUAAAAAGCAACCAGACGUGGUGGCUCACACCUGUCAUCCCAGCACUUUGGGAGGCCGAGGUGCCGGGGGAACGCCUGAGGUCAGGAGUUCGAGGCCAGCCUGACCAACAGGGUGAAACCCCGUAUCUACAAAAAUUACUUGGGCAUGAUGGCGGGUGCUCGUCAUCCUGGCUACUUGGGAGGCUGAGGCGGGAGAAUCGCUUGAACCCGGGAGGCGGAGGUUGCGGUGAGCCGGCAUCGUGCCACUGCAGUCCAGCCUGGGCGACAGAGCGAGACUCCAUCUGAAAAAAAUAAGUAAAAAUAAAAUAAAAAGCGAGAACGGGGAGGGAAGAGUAGAGAGGAAGAUCCCGGAGCUUCCUUGGGGGGUGAGGAAGGUGGGAGCCACGACGGUUGUAGAGGGAGAGCAGCUCCUCCCUUCACCCACCUGAGCCCGGGUCUCCUGUGUGGCCACAGCCUCUGCAGCCCACAGGGCCCCACGUUGUGAGGUUCACACACCUGCAGCUGCUCAGAAGUGCAAACUCACCCCCUGCAUGACGUGCUCUGGAUAUCAGUCGGCCUUCGCACCGCAGCCCUGGGUGGUUGAUCGAACGCUAAAGCUCCAGACCUGGAGAUGCCCCAGAGGAAGCGCCUGGCAGCAAUUAACCAUCCGAGCACCCCAGGUGGCGUGGACUCACGCGGCUCUUCAACCAAAUACCUGCUUCUGGAGUUGCCCUGACUGACCGUCUGAAAUUCAUGAUAAAAAAUGGAUGAAGGCCUGGUUUUCACAUUGUGGCCAAUGAAUGCUGUCCCAGUCUUGUUCUCCUGUCCGUUUACCGCGGUACGUAACACGGGCAGAACCUAAAAUUCACCUUUUGCGACAUUUUUUGUUUGUUUGUUUGUUUCUUUGUUUUUGAGAUGGAGUCUCGCUCUGUGGCCCAGGCUGGAGUGCAGUGGCUGGAUCUCAGCUCACCGCAACCUCUGCCUCCCGGGUUCACGCCAUUCUCCUGCCUCAGCCUCCUGAGUAGCUGGGACUACAGGCGCCGCCACCUCGCCCGGCUAGUUUUUUGUAUUUUCAGUAGAGACGGGGUUUCACCAUGUUAGCCAGGCUGGUCUCGAUCUCCUGACUUCCUGAUCCACCCACCUCAGCCUCCCAAAGUGCUGGGAUUACAGGCGUGAGCCGCUGCGCCCGGCCAAGAAUUAGUAUUAUGUUUAGCGCAAAAUUAGAAAUGCCUAUAUAUAUAUUUUAUAUAUGUUAGAAUAAAUUAUUAAUUUAUUAUUAUAAAUUAUUAAUUAAUAAUUUUAAUUAGGACACUCCCAAGUCUCAGUCUGUUUAGUAAAUACUUUUGUUUUCUUUUUUUAAGACUUGAGUUUCACUCUCGUUACCCAGGCUGGAGUACAGUGGUGUGAUCUCGGCUCACCUCAACCUCCGCCUCCCGGGUUCAAGCGAUUCUCCUGCCUCAGCCUCCCGAGUAGCUGGGAUGACAGGUGCCUGCCACCACACCUGGCUAAUUUUUGUGUUUUUAGUAGACACAGGGUUUCGCCGUCUCUACCAGACGCGAGGCUGGUCUUGAACUCCCGACCUCAAGCAAUCCACCCGCCUCGGCUUCCCAAAGUGCUGGGAUUCCAAAGGGUGUGUGAGCCCCCCGCACCCAGCCUAGCGUGUUCCUGUAACCGUAACAUCUCCGGGCGAGGAUCUCUGACAACGGGUCCGCCCGGACAGCACGUGGCCUGAUCUGAAGCCGGGCUGGAGACACGGUCUGGACCCCACGCUCCUGCCCAGGGCCGCCUCCAGCAGGAUCCCGCCCCUGGGAGCCGUGCAAACAUCAUAAAUCCUGCUAAUUGCCACGUUCCCCGCGGCCGGAAUCCGUGGUCUGUCUACAGUGGCCUCACAGUCUCCAGUCAAGAGUUUCAAUCUUCGCUUCUGGACAAAUAUUGCGGCGUCCGGCACAGCC